GAUGAACGCUGGCGGUAUGCUUAACACAUGCAAGUCGAACGGUCACUUCGGUGAUAGUGGCGGACGGGUGAGUAACGCGUGAGAAUCUGCCUUCAGGUCGGGGACAACAGUUAGAAAUGACUGCUAAUACCGGAUGUGCCUUUGGGUGAAAGAUUUAUUGCCUGAAAAAGAGCUCGCGUCAGAUUAGCUAGUAGGUGGUGUAAGAGACUACCUAGGCUCCGAUCUGUAGCUGGUCUGAGAGGACGAUCAGCCACACUGGAACUGAGACACGGUCCAGACUCCUACGGGAGGCAGCAGUGGGGAAUUUUCCGCAAUGGGCGAAAGCCUGACGGAGCAAUACCGCGUGAGGGACGAAGGCUUUUGGGUCGUAAACCUCUUUUCUCAAGGAAGAUGAUGACGGUACUUGAGGAAUAAGCAUCGGCUAACUCUGUG
rnacentral:rRNA from 1 species